CUUGCUCUCUGGGUGACGAGCGGCGGACGGGUGAGUAAUGUCUGGGAAACUGCCUGAUGGAGGGGGAUAACUACUGGAAACGGUAGCUAAUACCGCAUAACGUCUUCGGACCAAAGUGGGGGACCUUCGGGCCUCACGCCAUCAGAUGUGCCCAGAUGGGAUUAGCUAGUAGGUGGGGUAAUGGCUCACCUAGGCGACGAUCCCUAGCUGGUCUGAGAGGAUGACCAGCCACACUGGAACUGAGACACGGUCCAGACUCCUACGGGAGGCAGCAGUGGGGAAUAUUGCACAAUGGGCGCAAGCCUGAUGCAGCCAUGCCGCGUGUGUGAAGAAGGCCUUCGGGUUGUAAAGCACUUUCAGCGAGGAGGAAGGGUGGUGUGUUAAUAGCGCAUCACAUUGACGUUACUCGCAGAAGAAGCACCGGCUAACUCCGUGCCAGCAGCCGCGGUAAUACGGAGGGUGCAAGCGUUAAUCGGAAUUACUGGGCGUAAAGCGCACGCAGGCGGUUUGUUAAGUCAGAUGUGAAAUCCCCGCGCUUAACGUGGGAACUGCAUUUGAAACUGGCAAGCUAGAGUCUUGUAGAGGGGGGUAGAAUUCCAGGUGUAGCGGUGAAAUGCGUA
rnacentral:rRNA from 1 species